rnacentral:rRNA from 1 species
GACGAACGCUGGCGGCGUGCUUAACACAUGCAAGUCGAACGGAAAGGCCUGCAGCUUGCUGCGGGUACUCGAGUGGCGAACGGGUGAGUAACACGUGGGUGAUCUGCCUUGCACUCGGGAUAAGCUUGGGAAACUGGGUCUAAUACCGGAUAGGACAGCUGUUUAGUGUCAGUUGUGGAAAGUUUUUUCGGUGCAAGAUGAGCUCGCGGCCUAUCAGCUUGUUGGUGGGGUAAUGGCCUACCAAGGCGUCGACGGGUAGCCGGCCUGAGAGGGUGUACGGCCACAUUGGGGCUGAGAUACGGCCCAGACUCCUACGGGAGGCAGCAGUGGGGAAUAUUGCACAAUGGGCGGAAGCCUGAUGCAGCGACGCCGCGUGGGGGAUGAAGGCCUUCGGGUUGUAAACUCCUUUCGACAGGGACGAAGCUUUUGUGACGGUACCUGUAUAAGAAGCACCGGCUAACUACGUG